rnacentral:rRNA from 1 species
UACGUAGGGUGCAAGCGUUAAUCGGAAUUACUGGGCGUAAAGCGCACGUAGGCGGACAUUUAAGUCAGGGGUGAAAUCCCGGGGCUCAACCCCGGAACUGCCUUUGAUACUGGGUGUCUAGAGUGUGGAAGAGGUGAGUGGAAUUCCGAGUGUAGAGGUGAAAUUCGUAGAUAUUCGGAGGAACACCAGUGGCGAAGGCGGCUCACUGGUCCACUACUGACGCUGAGGUGCGAAAGCGUGGGGAGCAAACAGG